rnacentral:rRNA from 1 species
CGGAGAGUUUGAUCCUGGCUCAGGAUCAACGCUGGCGGCGUGCAUGAGACAUGCAAGUCGAACGGACGAACGGAGCUUGCUCUGUUCGUUAGUGGCGGACGGCUGAGUAACGCGUAGGUGACCUGCCCCGAAGUGGGGAAUAACUGCCCGAAAGGGUGGCUAAUACCGCAUGUGGUGAUGCGUUCGUUCGCAUCAGUAAAGCCGCAAGGCGCUUCAGGAGGGGCCUGCGUCCGAUUAGCUCGUUGGUGGGGUAACGGCUCACCAAGGCGACGAUCGGUAGGUGGUCUGAGAGGACGAUCACCCAGACUGGGACUGAGACACGGCCCAGACUCCUACGGGAGGC